rnacentral:rRNA from 1 species
GACGAACGCUGGCGGCGUGCUUAACACAUGCAAGUCGAACGGAAAGGCCCUGCUUUUGUGGGGUUCUGGAUGGGCGAAGGGGUGAGUAACAGGUGAGUAACCUGCCCUUGACUUUGGGAGAACUUCAGGAAACGGGGGCUAAUACCGGAUAGGAUCUCCUGCUGCGUGGGGGGGGUGGGAAAGUUGCGGCGGUAGGGGUUGGACUCGCGGCUUAUCAGCUGGUUGGUGGGGUAGUGGCUUACCAAGGCUUUGACGGGUAGCCGGCCUGAGAGGGUGACCGGCCACAUUGCGACUGAGAUACGGACCAGACUCGUAUGGGAGGCAGCAGUGGCGAAUCUUGCACAAUGGGACGACGCCUGAUGAAGAAACCCCGCGUGCGGGAAGACGGCCUUCGGGUUGUGAACCGCUUCAGCCUGUGACGAAGCGUGAGUGACGGUAAUGGGUAAAGAAGCACCGGCUAACUACGUG